rnacentral:rRNA from 1 species
CACUUAUAGAUGGAUCCGCGCUGCAUUAGCUAGUUGGUAAGGUAWCGGCUUACCAAGGCAACGAUGCAUAGCCGACCUGAGAGGGUGAUCGGCCACACUGGAACUGAGACACGGUCCAGACUCCUACGGGAGGCAGCAGUAGGGAAUCUUCCGCAAUGGGCGAAAGCCUGACGGAGCAACGCCGCGUGAGUGAUGAAGGUCUUCGGAUCGUAAAACUCUGUUAUUAGGGAAGAACAUAUGUGUAAGUAACUGUGCACAUCUUGACGGUACCUAAUCAGAAAGCCACGGCUAACUACGUGCCAGCAGCCGCGGUAAUACGUAGGUGGCAAGCGUUAUCCGGAAUUAUUGGGCGUAAAGCGCGCGUAGGCGGUUUUUUAAGUCUGAUGUGAAAGCCCACGGCUCAACCGUGGAGGGUCAUUGGAAACUGGAAAACUUGAGUGCAGAAGAGGAAAGUGGAAUUCCAUGUGUAGCGGUGAAAUGCGCAGAGAUAUGGAGGAACACCAGUGGCGAAGGCGACUUUCUGGUCUGUAACUGACGCUGAUGUGCGAAAGCGUGGGGAUCAAACAGGAUUAGAUACCCUGGUAGUCCACGCCGUAAACGAUGAGUGCUAAGUGUUAGGGGGUUUCCGCCCCUUAGUGCUGCAGCUAACGC